AAGGCUAUUUGCUCAAAGUUGAA
rnacentral:siRNA from 1 species